rnacentral:rRNA from 1 species
CUACGGGGUGCACCAGUGGGGAAUAUUACACAAUGGGCGCAAGCCUGAUGCAGCCAUGCCGCGUGUAUGAAGAAGGCCUUCGGGUUGUAAAGUACUUUCAGCGGGGAGGAAGGGAGUAAAGUUAAUACCUUUGCUCAUUGACGUUACCCGCAGAAGAAGCACCGGCUAACUCCGUGCCAGCAGCCGCGGUAAUACGGAGGGUGCAAGCGUUAAUCGGAAUUACUGGGCGUAAAGCGCACGCAGGCGGUUUGUUAAGUCAGAUGUGAAAUCCCCGGGCUCAACCUGGGAACUGCAUCUGAUACUGGCAGGCUUGAGUCUCGUAGAGGGGGGUAGAAUUGCAGGUGUAGCGGUGAUAUGCGUAGAGAUCUGGAGGAAUACCGGUGGCGAAGGCGGCCCCCUGGACGAAGACUGACGCUCAGGUGCGAAAGCGUGGGGAGCAAACAGGAUUAGAUACCCGCGUAGUC